rnacentral:rRNA from 1 species
UACGAAGGGGGCUAGCGUUGCUCGGAAUCACUGGGCGUAAAGCGCACGUAGGCGGCUUCUUAAGUCGGGGGUGAAAUCCUGGAGCUCAACUCCAGAACUGCCUUCGAUACUGGAGAGCUCGAGUCCGGGAGAGGUGAGUGGAACUGCGAGUGUAGAGGUGAAAUUCGUAGAUAUUCGCAAGAACACCAGUGGCGAAGGCGGCUCACUGGCCCGAUACUGACGCUGAGGCACGAAAGCGUGGGGAGCAAACAGG